GUGCUCACUUUGGCAGCACAUAUACUAAAACUGAAACAAUACAGAAGAUUAGCAUGACCCUUGUGCAAGGAUGACACACAAAAAAAUGCCCCCAAAAAUCCU
ensembl:snRNA U6 U6 spliceosomal RNA